GAUGAAUGCUGGCGGCGUGCCUAACACAUGCAAGUCGAGCGGCAGCGCGAGUAGUUUACUACUUGGCGGCGAGCGGCGGACGGCUGAGUAACACGUGGGAACAUACCCCAAAGUGAGGGAUAACUGCCCGAAAGGGUGGCUAAUACCGCAUAUGAUCUUCGGAUUAAAGGAUUUAUCCGCUUUGGGAAUGGCCUGCGUACGAUUAGAUUGUUGGUGGGGUAAUGGCCUACCAAGUCGACGAUCGUUAGCUGGUCUGAGAGGAUGACCAGCCAGACUGGAACUGAGACACGGUCCAGACUCCUACGGGAGGCAGCAGUGAGGAAUCUUCCACAAUGGGCGAAAGCCUGAUGGAGCAACGCCGCGUGCAGGAUGAAGGCCUUCGGGUUGUAAACUGCUUUUAUAAGUGAAGAAUAUGACGGUAACUUAUGAAUAAGCACCGGCUAACUACGUG
rnacentral:rRNA from 2 species